rnacentral:rRNA from 1 species
GCUUGUCUCAAAGAUUAAGCCAUGCAUGUGUAAGUAUCAGAAGUCUGAACUUCAAAACUGCGAAUGGCUCAUUAUAUCAGUUAUAGUUUAUUUGAUAGUACCUUACUACUUGGAUAACCGUAGUAAUUCUAGAGCUAAUACAUGCGUAAAUACCCAACUGCUUGUCGGACGGGUAGCAUUUAUUAGAUUGAAACCAAUGCAGCUUCGGCUGGUAUUGUGUUGAGUCAUAAUAACUGUGCGGAUCGCUUUUUAAGCGAUAAAUCGAUUGAGUUUCUGCCCUAUCAGCUUUGGAUGGUAGGAUAUGGGCCUACCAUGGCGUUAACGGGUAACGGGGAAUUAGGGUUUGAUUCCGGAGAGGGAGCCUUAGAAACGGCUACCACAUCCAAGGAAGGCAGCAGG